CUGCGAAUGGCUCGGUAAAACAGCAAUAAUUUCUUCGAGGAUAUACUACUCGGAUAACCGUAGUAAUUCUAGAGCUAAUACGUGCUUCAGCUGGGAUCCGUCUCGGCGUGCCGUUUAGAUAACAACACCAACAUAUGGUGAUUCAUAAACGUCUUUCUGACCCUGUACAGGGCACCUCGUUCAAAUUUCUGACCUAUCAACUUUCGAUGAUAAGGUAGUGUCUUAUCAUGGUUUCAACGGGUAACGGACCGUGGGUGCGGGACUCCGGAGAGGGAGCCUGAGAAACGGCUACCACAUCCAAGGAAGGCAGCAGGCGCGCAACUUACCCAAUCCAGACUCUGGGAGGUAGUGACAAGAAAUAUCAGUAGGGGAUCCUAUGGGUCUUCUAACCGGAAUGAGAACAAGCUAAACAGCUUAUCGAGAAUCCAGCAGAG
rnacentral:rRNA from 1 species